rnacentral:tRNA from 1 species
GUCUCCAUGGUCUAGUUGGUGUUAUGACGGCGGUCUCAUAUUCCAUAUAUGACAGUCCUCUCAAGGUCUGGUUAUCCGCAGGUCACGAGUUCGAUCCUCGUUGGAGGCA